AGCACCACAACGGGUGGAGCUUGCGGUUUAAUUGGAUUCAACGCCGGAAAUCUUACCGGGACCGACAGCGAUAUGAAGGCCAGGCUGAAGACUUUGCCGGAUUAGCUGAGAGGUGGUGCAUGGCCGUCGUCAGUUCGUACUGUGAAGCAUCCUGUUAAGUCAGGCAACGAGCGAGACCCACGCCCACAGUUGCCAGCGUACUCUCCGGAGUGACGGGUACACUGUGGGGACCGCCGCUGCUAAAGCGGAGGAAGGAAUGGGCAACGGUAGGUCAGUAUGCCCCGAAUAUCCCGGGCUACACGCGAGCUACAAUGGUUGGUACAAUGGGUAUCUACCCCGAAAGGGGAUGGAAAUCUCCUAAAGCCAAUCUUAGUCCGGAUUGAGGGCUGCAACUCGCCCUCAUGAAGCUGGAAUCCGUAGUAAUCGCGUUUCAACAGAACGCGGUGAAUACGUCCCUGCUCCUU
rnacentral:rRNA from 1 species